GAUGAACGCUAGCGGCAGGCUUAGUACAUGCAAGUCGAACGGGGUUCAGGGUAGCAAUACUUUGAUGAGAGUGGCGCACGGGUGCGUAACGCGUAUGCAACCUACCUUUAACAGGUGAAUAGCCCCGAGAAAUCGGGAUUAAUACACCGUAACAUUGCGAGAUGGCAUCAUUUUGCAAUUAAAGAUUUAUCGGUUAAAGAUGGGCAUGCGUGACAUUAGCUAGUUGGUGGGGUAACGGCUCACCAAGGCAACGAUGUCUAGGGGUCCUGAGAGGGUUAUCCCCCACACUGGUACUGAGACACGGACCAGACUCCUACGGGAGGCAGCAGUAAGGAAUAUUGGUCAAUGGGCGCAAGCCUGAACCAGCCAUGCCGCGUGCAGGAAGACGGCCCUAUGGGUUGUAAACUGCUUUUGUCAGGGAAUAAACCUGUCUACGUGUAGGCAGCUGAAGGUACCUGAAGAAUAAGCAUCGGCUAACUCCGUGCCAGCAGCCGCGGUAAUACGGAGGAUGCAAGCGUUAUCCGGAUUCAUUGGGUUUAAAGGGUGCGCAGGCGGAUUGGUAAGUCAGGGGUGAAAUCCCACAGCUCAACUGUGGAACUGCCUUUGAUACUGUCAGUCUAGAGUAUAGUUGAAGUGGGCGGAAUGUGUCAUGUAGCGGUGAAAUGCUUAGAUAUGACACAGAACACCGAUCGCGAAGGCAGCUCGCUAAGCUAUAACUGACGCUCAUGCACGAAAGCGUGGGGAUCAAACAGGAUUAGAUACCCUGGUAGUCCACGCCGUAAACGAUGAUUACUCGAUGUUGGCGAUACACAGUCAGCGUCUUAGGGAAACCAAUAAGUAAUCCACCUGGGGAGUACGAUCGCAAGAUUG
rnacentral:rRNA from 1 species